UGCGUAGGCGGCCUGACAAGUCAGAGGUGAAAGGCUACGGCUUAACCGUAGUAAGCCUUUGAAACUGACAGGCUUGAGUGCAGGAGAGGAAAGUGGAAUUCCUAGUGUAGCGGUGAAAUGCGUAGAUAUUAGGAGGAACACCAGUGGCGAAGGCGACUUUCUGGACUGUAACUGACGCUGAGGUACGAAAGCGUGGGGAGCGAACAGGAUUAGAUACCCUGGUAGUCC
rnacentral:rRNA from 1 species